rnacentral:lncRNA from 1 species
UUUUUUUUUUUUUUUUGGCUUAAAUUACCCAUCUGUUCUUGAAUGUCAUUUAUUUUUUUCCAUAGAGCCCUUAACAUAUUAAUCAUAGUUAUUUUAAAUUCUCUGUCUGAUUAUUCCAAAAUCUGUAUCAUAUUUGAGUCUGAUGCUGAUGCUUAUUUUUUCUCUUCAGGAUGUGUUUUUUGUUGCCUUUUAGCAUACAUUAUAAUUUUUUGUUGAAAACUAGAAAUGAUGUAUCAGUUAAUAAGAACUGAGGAAAUAAAACUUUUAAGAUUUUAUUUAUUUAUUUGACGGAAAGAGAAAGAGAAAGAACACACAAGCAGGGGGAAGGAGAAGCAGGUUCCCCACUGAGCAGGGAGGUGAUGCUGGGCUGGAUCCCAGGAUCCCUGGAUCAUGCAUGAUCUGAGCCGAGGCAGACUCUUGACCAACUGAACCACCCAAGUGUCCCUUAAUAGGACUUUAGUGUGAAAUUUCAUAUUAAUCUGCCUUGUAGUUGGGCUGUUGUUUAAUGAUUGUUAGAGCUGUAAGUCCCAGAGACAUCACAUUCUGCUAGUGUCCUUGUUUUGUCUCCACUGUUGUCUUCGGGCUCCAUUUUUCUCUUAGACAUUUUCUUUUAGAGUUCCCUGAGAAGUCUUCCUGGUAUGGAGCCUGCAUCUUUUAGCUCUUUCAGCAGCAAUCCACUGCUAAUAUGUACCAGAGUUCUGUUGGCAAGGUGAUAAGGUAUGGGUGAUGGGUACGUGUUCUGUAACCUUAUGAUUAAAUUUCAAUCCUUCAAUGGGCUUAUGUCUCUGGGCUAUGACCUUCUCGAGUCUUUCUUAGCUUUUUAUUUCCUCUUAGGUCAUACAAGAAAGCUAGAGUGGGCUGAAAUGGGAGAAACACACUUCCUCCAGGUCAGAUAAGGUUCUAUCUAAUAAAGCCUUUUCUCUUGGAGAGAAGGUCCUUGUUAUAGAGAUCGCUCUAAGUAUAUCUCAUAAUGAUUAUUUCCCCCUUCCCCUACCAGAAUCAGGAGAGGGCUCCUGGCUCCUCAUUGUGAGAACUGGUGGAGAUAAAACCCAAGAAAAUGUAGAGGUGUCCCAAGAUUGCAGCCCUCACAAGUUAUGCACUCAGGCUAGACCACACUCAGGCUCAGCAGUACAUGAAAGUUACCACUAAAUAUCCCUACCGGCUUAUGGCCCCAGCAGCUUCUGUUUCAGGUAAGGAGAUCGUGGCUGUAAUUCUCAAGAUUCCUCUGUCUCUCUAGAGUUGGAGGGUAGCAGUUUGCCCUGUGGCCUCAGAUCUCCCAUGAAUCCAAAAAAAGUCAUUGAUUUUCAGUUGUUCAGUUUUGCCCUUAUUUUGAAGACAGGAGUGACAACUAAAUAAAGUUAAAUAAAAUUUAAAAUUCUGUUUCUCAGUCACACUAGCUAUGUUUCAAGCACUCAAUAACCAUGUGUGGCUAGUAAUUACCAUAUGGGACAGCACAGAUAUAGAACAUUUCCAUCAUCACAGGAAGUUCUAUUAGACAGAACUUGUCUAGACAAAUUUUCUAAAGAAAUCUCAGGAGACAACUAGAAUCACAAGACAAAAUGGGUCAGUAAAGUAAGAUAUUUUAGAGUGAGAUUGUAAACUUUCAUCUCAGGUUCACCUUGAAUAAUCACUAAAUGAUGAAAGAAAAAUCUACAAUAAAAGAUAUUACUAAAAAGCUGAUCAAUAACAGUCCAUGGUAAUCAGGAUAAGACAUGAUCUCUACUUAAUCCUAGCUCUGAGACUUAAGUCAAAAAUCUGAAUUGAGACCCAAGCAUACUCUAAUACCCAAAAAGGCCCAUCCUGAUUGAGAGAUUUUUGUUUCCACACAUAGCUAAAGCCCAACUUGCAUUUUCUGCAAGUGAUCAUCACAUGUGGAUUUAAAGCUGUCUUCAUAUUAUUUUGUAUCUUUUAUACAACUAAUCAACUAAACUUUUAGAUUUGCCUUGUGAUUUUGAGUGCAUAAAAAAUGCCUCAAGAAUAUAUGGUGAUUAAUUUCAAAAGCAUAAAAUCAAAAAAGAAAAA